CCUACGGGUGGCAGCAGUGGGGAAUAUUGCACAAUGGGGGAAACCCUGAUGCAGCGACGCCGCGUGAGUGAAGAAGUAUUUCGGUAUGUAAAGCUCUGUCAGCAGGGAAGAAAAUGACGGUACCUGACCAAGAAGCCCCGUCUAACUUCGUGCCAGCAGCCGCGGUAAUACGUAGGGGGCACGCGUUAUCCGGACUUACUGGGUGUAAAGGGAGAGUAGACGGGAGUGCAAGUCUGGUGUGAAAGGCGGGGGCUUAACCGACGAACUGCGCUGGAAACUGGCGGGCUGGAGUGCAGGAGAGGUAAGUGGAAUUCCGAGUGUAGAGGUGGAAUGCGUAGAUAUUAGGAGGAAAACCAGUGGCGAAGGCGGCUUACUGGACUGUAACGGACGUUGAGGCUCGAAAGCGUGGGGAGCAAACAGGAUUAGAUACCCUGGUAGUC
rnacentral:rRNA from 1 species